rnacentral:rRNA from 1 species
UACGGAGGGGGCAAGCGUUAUUCGGAAUUAUUGGGCGUAAAGGGCGCGUAGGCGGCUAGAUGUGUCAAAGGUGAAAUCCCUCGGCUCAACUGAGGAACUGCCUUUGAAACUGUCUGGCUUGAGGCCGGGAGAGGGUAGCGGAAUUCCCAGUGUAGCGGUGAAAUGCGUAGAUAUUGGGAGGAACACCAGUGGCGAAGGCGGCCCACUGGUCCGGUACUGACGCUGAGGUGCGAAAGCGUGGGGAGCAAACAGG